GUGGAGGGUCGGCCGGUGAUGGACUUCGGACGGUGUUGGGGAGGUUCGACAGACAUCGGAGGCGAUCGGUCGUUGUAGGAAUCCAGCUGUUGGAGCCCGAUCAUCGUAGAAGCUCGUCCAAUAUCCAACCGCUAUGAAAGUUCGAUCGAAGUCUGGUUCUUGUAGAAGGCUGAAAGGAGACUGCUUAUUGUAGAAGCUCGAUCGAAGGUCGGCUGUAGUGGGAGCUCGGAAUAGCGACCUGGCCGAUGAGUCCUGUCCCAUUGUGGAAGCUCGAUCGAAGAUCGAUUUUCGUGGGAGCUCGGAGUAGUGACUUGGCUGAUGAGUCCGUCCCAUUGUAGAAGCUCGUCUGGGACCC
rnacentral:lncRNA from 1 species